CUACGGAGGGUGCAAGCGUUGUCCGGAUUUAUUGGGUUUAAAGGGUGCGUAGGUGGUUUAUUAAGUCAGUGGUGAAAUCCGACAGCUUAACUGUUGAACUGCCAUUGAUACUGGUAAACUUGAGUGUUGUUGAGGCAGGCGGAAUUUAUGGUGUAGCGGUGAAAUGCAUAGAUACCAUAAAGAACACCGAUAGCGAAGGCAGCUUGCUUAGCAACAACUGACACUAAUGCACGAAAGCGUGGGUAGCGAACAGGAUUAGAUACCCGAGUAGUCC
rnacentral:rRNA from 1 species